AGAACAUGCGGACUGUCGGUCUACCGAGCAAUAUCACCCACUCAGUGGGAGAUCUUUCCUUUGUCGU
rnacentral:pre_miRNA from 1 species